rnacentral:rRNA from 1 species
CCUACGGGUGGCAGCAGUGGGGAAUCUUGCGCAAUGGGCGAAAGCCUGACGCAGCAACGCCGCGUGUGUGAUGAAGGUCUUCGGAUCGUAAAGCACUGUCGGCAGGAACGAGGGUUGCUUUGGCUAACAUCCAAAGUGAUUGACGGUACCUGCAAAGGAAGCACCGGCUAACUCUGUGCCAGCAGCCGCGGUAAUACAGAGGGUGCAAGCGUUGUUCGGAAUCAUUGGGCGUAAAGCGCUCGUAGGCGGUUUGCUAAGUCAGGUGUGAAAGCCCC